rnacentral:rRNA from 1 species
AUGGCCCUACGGGAGGCAGCAGUAGGAAAUUUUCGUCAAUGGGCGCAAGCCUGAACGAGCGAUGCCGCGUGAGUGAAGAAGGCCUUCGGGUCGUAGAGCUCUGUUGCGGGGGAAAAAAGGCAGCAUCAGGAAAUGGGUGCUGACUGAUGGUGCCCCGCCAGAAAGUCACGGCUAACUACGUGCCAGCAGCCGCGGUAAUACGUAGGUGGCGAGCGUUAUCCGGAAUGAUUGGGCGUAAAGGGUGCGCAGGCGGUCCUGCAAGUCUGGAGUGAAACGCAUGAGCUCAACUCAUGCUU